CCCCUCACAUGGAGCCAAUCGCAGCGCGGGGCUAGGCGGGCGGCCAGGCGGGCGGCCAGGCUGCCCGGCGAUGGACCUGGCCAUUCCGAGGACCCAGGCUCAGGCCCAACCGCCGCCACCCGAGGCGGUGAGCUCGGAGGAGGAGCUCUACGACUGCCUCGAUUACUGCUACCUGCGCGACUUCCCCGCCUGCGGGGCUGGACGCAGCAAGGGCCGGACUCGGCGCGAGCGGGAACUGCGCACCAACUGGCCGGUGCCUGGCGGCCACGAGCGCAAAAUCGCACAGAAGCUCCUCAACGGCCAACGCAAGCGCCGCCAGCGCCAGCUGCAGCCCCGGCCGCGCACUCGCCUCACCUGAACGCCGGUGCGUAAGGGCCGCGACCAGAGGGCCGUGGGAAGCUCCGUGAGCGCCGCGGGCCACCCCGAGCGCCGCUCCCCGUAGGCCUUCUGCUACUCUACCGGCGCAGAGUCGCCCCCUUUGGAGGCGGUCCCGCCUUAGCUACGUAGUCAUAACUGGACUCCCGCCCUCAGCUUGUCUCCUAACUGCGGAUACCCAAAAGACCUGAUAAAAAUAUUUUCUCUGACUCCAGACGUAACUGUGGUCCUAAGGGGGAGAGAAUCCAUGUUGGUCAACAAUUUCUUUUCCACAUCGCUUAAGUUUACUGCGUCAGUAUCUUUUCCUUAAUGACUGUUAAUUAAGUAACAUCCAAGUGCGUAUGCCGUUUUAGGGUUUUUAAUUAAAAGAGAACAGCAAGAAUGGCAUUUUAA